CUCUUGUAUGCCUUAAGCCUUGGCCCUUCUAGCAUGCCAUCCUUGCUUUGUUUCAGUGGUUUGGAACCACUUGACAUGUCAUUUCAGACCUCAUGAUGUGCCCAUAUGCUUGCAUUUCAUCCCCCUUCAAUGUGUUUAAAGGUUGUUGCCAUAUGCCUCUUGUUUAGGCCUUGGAGUAUGCUUGUAUUUUUAGACCACUUAGAUGCCAUCUAAGUACAUCCUUAGCUUUGUUUAGGUCUGCAUUAGACCCAUUUUAAGUUCCUU
rnacentral:sRNA from 1 species